CAGCAGCCACGGUAAUACGGAGGGCGCGAGCGUUACCCGGAUUUACUGGGCGUAAAGGGCGUGUAGGCGGCCUGGGGCGUCCCAUGUGAAAGGCCACGGCUCAACCGUGGAGGAGCGUGGGAUACGCUCAGGCUAGAGGGUGGGAGAGGGUGGUGGAAUUCCCGGAGUAGCGGUGAAAUGCGCAGAUACCGGGAGGAACGCCGAUGGCGAAGGCAGCCACCUGGUCCACUUCUGACGCUGAGGCGCGAAAGCGUGGGGAGCAAACAGGAUUAGAUACCCGUGUAGUCCCUGUCUCUUAUAC
rnacentral:rRNA from 1 species